GGAGAAACACCAUCCAGGUAGACAGGUUGUUCUUGCUCCUCAUAGGGGCAAUGAAACCUUUCCCUCUGGAAAAAACUGUUCAGAAGAUUAAAAUGGCAAGAUAUAAAAAAUUCCCUAAUUUCCCAAGUAGACGUUGGGUUAGGAAAAGAAGGAAAAGAAGGAGGAGAGUGAAACAUUCUCCUAUUUCAUCUGUCCCUGAAGCUAUUCUUGUUACUUCUGAGGUUUCUUCUGACACCUCUCUAUAGGGAUGAAGAAAAAAGGAGAAGAGGGAGAAAGAGAAGAAGAGGCAUGGAACCAUACAAUUUGAGAAGAAAGAGCGUGAUGGUAUCUUAGAUGUGCAGGGUCCCUACUUCAACACUGGAGCAAAACCAGGACCUGUCUCAAUAAAGUGUACAAAAUAAAAUAAAAAA